rfam:Asian citrus Psyllid, Diaphorina citri - Florida Strain, whole genome shotgun sequence.
GCCUAGUUAGCUUAGUUGGUAGUGCGUCUGCCUUGUAAGCGCUAGGCCGCGGGAUCGAUUCCCGCCCGGGGCG